AGAAUGAGUAUUAAAACCUAAUUAUAAAAGAACUAUUAAUUUAUUUUUCUUCAAAAAAUUUUUUAAAAAAAAUUAAUUAAUUAGAAGGAAUUCGGCAAGUUUAGUUGCUUCGCCUGUUUAUCAAAAACAUGGCUCUUUGCUUGUAUAAAUAUAAAGAGUCGAGCCUGCCCAGUGAGUUUUUUAACGGCCGCGGUACUCUGACCGUGCAAAGGUAGCAUAAUCAUUUGCCUUAUAAUUGAAGGCUAGUAUGAAUGGUUUGACGAGAGCAACACUGUCUCCUUUUUAUUUUCAAAAACUUAACUUUUAGGUGAAGAGGCCUAAAUUCUAUUGAAGGACAAGAAGACCCUGUCGAGCUUAAAAGAUAUUAUAGGAACCUAAUAUAUUUUUAAAUAAAUUUUCUAUUAAGCUUUUUAGUUGGGGCGACUAAGGAACAAAAAAAGCUUCUUUUUAAUAAUAAACAAUCAUGUUUGGAUCCGAUAAUAACGAUCAAAGAAAUUAGUUACCGCAGGGAUAACAGCAUAAUCUCUCUUAAGAGACCUAAUCGAAAGGGGGGGUUGUGACCUCGAUGUUGGACUAGAAUAUCCUAAAGAUGUAGAAGUCUUAA
rnacentral:rRNA from 1 species